GUCUCCGUGGCUUAACGGCAUAGCGCUUCCUCCCAGUAACAACAUGCGUUCGAAGUUAUGGACGGGGUGUGGGUUCGAACCCUACCGGAGACA